rnacentral:rRNA from 1 species
AGGACGAACGCUGGCGGCGUGCUUAACACAUGCAAGUCGAGCGGUAAGGCCUUUCGGGGUACACGAGCGGCGAACGGGUGAGUAACACGUGGGUGAUCUGCCCUGCACUCUGGGAUAAGCCUGGGAAACUGGGUCUAAUACCGGAUAUGACCUGCUCUCGCAUGGGGGUGGGUGGAAAGAUUUAUCGGUGCAGGAUGGGCCCGCGGCCUAUCAGCUUGUUGGUGGGGUAAUGGCCUACCAAGGCGACGACGGGUAGCCGACCUGAGAGGGUGACCGGCCACACUGGGACUGAGACACGGCCCAGACUCCUACGGGAGGCAGCAGUGGGAAUAUGCACAAUGGGCGAAAGCCUGAUGCAGCGACGCCGCGUGAGGAUGAAGGCCGUUCGGGUUGUAAACCUCUUUCAGCGAGGACGAAGCGCAAGUGACGGUACCUGCGAGAAGAAGCGAACCGGCUAACACGUGCCAGCAGCCGC